AACUUCUGAAUGUUGACCUCGGAUCAGGUAGGAAUACCCGCUGAACUUAAGCAUAUCAAUAAGCGGAGGAAAAGAAACCAACAGGGAUUGCCCUAGUAACGGCGAGUGAAGCGGCAACAGCUCAAAUUUGAAAUCUGGCUUUCGGGCCCGAGUUGUAAUUUGUAGAGGAUACUUUUGAUGCGGUGCCUUCCGAGUUCCCUGGAACGGGACGCCAUAGAGGGUGAGAGCCCCGUCUGGUUGGAUGCCAAAUCUCUGUAAAGUUCCUUCGACGAGUCGAGUAGUUUGGGAAUGCUGCUCUAAAUGGGAGGUAUAUGUCUUCUAAAGCUAAAUAUUGGCCAGAGACCGAUAGCGCACAAGUAGAGUGAUCGAAAGAUGAAAAGCACUUUGAAAAGAGAGUUAAAAAGUACGUGAAAUUGUUGAAAGGGAAGCGUUUAUGACCAGACUUGGACUUGGUUAAUCAUCUGGGGUUCUCCCCAGUGCACUUUUCCAGUUCAGGCCAGCAUCAGUUUUCGCCGGGGGAUAAAGGCAGUGGGAAUGUAGCUCUCUUCGGGGAGUGUUAUAGCCCAUUGUGUAAUACCCUGGUGGAGA
rnacentral:rRNA from 1 species